AAUCAAAGAUGAGGUGAUGCUGCUCUCAGAUAUAAACCAUGUGGAACAUGGAUUAAGUUUGGUGAUAUGAUAUUCUGAUUUCAAGGUUAUUUCCAAUUCAAAAUCACACCAUUUUAAUCUUCUAGGGUUUGUUAGAACAUCCACUUAGUGUUUACAAAUAAAUCGUAACAAUUUAAAAGUAUGAUUAUAGGAAAGGUUGCAUUUGCUGGUUUGAUUUGCGAUGUAAAGAUGUCUAAUUCACCGUGACGUUGGAAAAAAUCAAUUGUAUCUCUUUGUUAUGAGAAAGGUAAUGCAUCUUAUGGCAAUGAACGAGCCAACUAGAUUUACAAAAUGGUAGAGGAUCAGAAGUCAAGCAGUAAUACUUGAAACCAGACAAUCGGUUGUAAAGGGAACCAUCUACGCCAGAGAUUUAUGGUGAGUUUUCAAACAAGUGCUUUUUGGCUUCUUUUUGUGGUUUUAGCUUUCCUGGUUGGUAAACAGUUGAAAGUGGCUCAAGAAUCUUUGCAGAAGUUAAAAGAGUUCGAUAUAAGGAUGAAUCACAUAUCGAUUGCAGCAGCAGUUAUAUACAUAACAACACAGCUCUCUGAUGAAAAGAAGCCUCUUCGAGGAUCAAACCUGUAGAUGGAAAGACUGUCACCAAGACUAUGAGUCCAUGAGAUUGGAGGGUAAAACACGUUCCCAGCAGCAAGUGGAUAAACAGAUUUAGUAUUCGCAAACUUUUUCUCAGAAGGAGUGGCACUUUCAUACGUUUGGUUCUUUCUAUGUCAAUCUCUGGUAUUAUUAAUUUAAAUUUGAAAGUAAAAGGCCAAAACCAAUUUAAAUUCCUACAUUACUGGAUUAAUUAAAUAAAAUAGGCAUUUUUACUAUACAUAAAUUAGAUUAGAUAUGUAAAAUAAUUUUAUAAAUUUAAAAUGAUGUAGUUUCUAAAAUUUAAAAUAUAAUUAAAUAAAAUUGAAAAUGUAAUGUAUGCAAACAAUAAAAGUAUAAUUUAAUAUAUUUUGAGUAAUUUUUUUAUAUUUGAUUAUUUAUUGUACCACAAUUUUGCACGAGUAUAUAGAUAUAUACAUUAAAAAUACUUAC